rnacentral:rRNA from 1 species
GACGAACGCUGGCGGCGUGCUUAACACAUGCAAGUCGAACGGAAAGGCCCUGCUUUUGUGGGGUGCUCGAGUGGCGAACGGGUGAGUAACACGUGAGUAACCUGCCCUUGACUUUGGGAUAACUUCAGGAAACUGGGGCUAAUACCGGAUAGGAGCUCCUGCUGCAUGGUGGGGGUUGGAAAGUUUCGGCGGUUGGGGAUGGACUCGCGGCUUAUCAGCUUGUUGGUGGGGUAGUGGCUUACCAAGGCUUUGACGGGUAGCCGGCCUGAGAGGGUGACCGGCCACACUGGGACUGAGAUACGGCCCAGACUCCUACGGGAGGCAGCAGUGGGGAAUAUUGCACAAUGGGCGGAAGCCUGAUGCAGCAACGCCGCGUGCGGGAUGACGGCCUUCGGGUUGUAACCCGCUUUCGCCUGUGACGAAGCGUGAGUGACGGUAAUGGGUAAAGAAGCACCGGCUAACUACGUG